GUCGUCAGCUCGUGCCGUGAGGUGUUGGGUUAAGUCCCGCAACGAGCGCAACCCUCGUCGUUAGUUGUAUUUCUCUAGCGAGACCGCUGCGUACAACGCAGAGGAAGGUGGGGACGAUGUCAAGUCAGCGUGGCCCUUACGCCCAGGGCGACACACACGCUACAAUGGCCGGUACAACGGGCAGCCACUGCGCGAGCAGGAGCGAAUCCCUCAAAACCGGCCUCAGUUCGGAUAGCAGGCUGAAACUCGCCUGCUUGAAGCCGGAGUUGCUAGUAACCGCAGGUCAGCCAUACUGCGGUGAAUACGUUCUCGGGCCUUGUACACACCGCCCGUCACGUCAUGGGAGUGAGUAACACUUGAAGUCGGUGCGCGAACCUUCGGGACGCAGCCGCCGAAAGUGGGACUCGCGACUGGGACGAAGUCGUAACAAGGUAGCCGUAGCGGAAGCUGCGGCUGGAUCACCUCCUUUCUAGGGAG
rnacentral:rRNA from 1 species